CGAACGCUGGCGGCGUGCUUAACACAUGCAAGUCGAACGGAAAGGCCCUGCUUUUGUGGGGUGCUCGAGUGGCGAACGGGUGAGUAACACGUGAGUAACCUGCCCUUGACUUUGGGAUAACUUCAGGAAACUGGGGCUAAUACCGGAUAGGAGCUCCUGCUGCAUGGUGGGGGUUGGAAAGUUUCGGCGGUUGGGGAUGGACUCGCGGCUUAUCAGCUUGUUGGUGGGGUAGUGGCUUACCAAGGCUUUGACGGGUAGCCGGCCUGAGAGGGUGACCGGCCACAUUGGGACUGAGAUACGGCCCAGACUCCUACGGGAGGCAGCAGUGGGGAAUAUUGCACAAUGGGCGGAAGCCUGAUGCAGCAACGCCGCGUGCGGGAUGACGGCCUUCGGGUUGUAAACCGCUUUCGCCUGUGACGAAGCGUGAGUGACGGUAAUGGGUAAAGAAGCACCGGCUAACUACGUGCCAGCAGCCGCGGUGAUACGUAGGGUGCGAGCGUUGUCCGGAUUUAUUGGGCGUAAAGGGCUCGUAGGUGGUUGAUCGCGUCGGAAGUGUAAUCUUGGGGCUUAACCCUGAGCGUGCUUUCGAUACGGGUUGACUUGAGGAAGGUAGGGGAGAAUGGAAUUCCUGGUGGAGCGGUGGAAUGCGCAGAUAUCAGGAGGAACACCAGUGGCGAAGGCGGUUCUCUGGGCCUUUCCUGACGCUGAGGAGCGAAAGCGUGGGGAGCGAACAGGCUUAGAUACCCUGGUAGUCCACGCUGUAAACGGUGGGUACUAGGUGUGGGGUCCAUUCCACGGGUUCCGUGCCGUAGCUAACGUUUUAAGUACCCCGCCUGGGGAGUACGGCCGCAAGGCUAAAACUCAAAGGAAUUGACGGGGCCCCGCACAAGCGGCGGAGCAUGCGGAUUAAUUCGAUGCAACGCGUAGAACCUUACCUGGGUUUGACAUGGAUCGGGAGUGCUCAGAGAUGGGUGUGCCUCUUUUGGGGUCGGUUUACAGGUGGUGCAUGGCUGUCGUCAGCUCGUGUCGUGAGAUGUUGGGUUAAGUCCCGCAACGAGCGCAACCCUUGUUCACUGUUGCCAGCACGUUAUGGUGGGGACUCAGUGGAGACCGCCGGGGUCAACUCGGAGGAAGGUGGGGAUGACGUCAAGUCAUCAUGCCCCUUAUGUCCAGGGCUUCACGCAUGCUACAAUGGCUGGUACAGAGAGUGGCGAGCCUGUGAGGGUGAGCGAAUCUCGGAAAGCCGGUCUCAGUUCGGAUUGGGGUCUGCAACUCGACCUCAUGAAGUCGGAGUCGCUAGUAAUCGCAGAUCAGCAACGCUGCGGUGAAUACGUUCCCGGGGCUUGUACACACCGCCCGUCAAGUCAUGAAAGUUGGUAACACCCGAAGCCGGUGGCCUAACCGUUGUGGGGGAGCCGUCGAAGGUGGGACUGGUGAUUAGGACUAAG
rnacentral:rRNA from 1 species